UACGAAGGGGGCGAGCGUUGUUCGGAUUUACUGGGCGUAAAGGGCGCGCAGGCGGCUUAUUUUGUCAGGCGUGAAAGCCCAAGGCUCAACCUUGGAACUGCCUUUGAUACUGUUUGGCUUGAGACCGGUAGAGGUAAGUGGAACUGCGAGUGUAGAGGUGAAAUUCGUAGAUAUUCGCAAGAACACCAGUGGCGAAGGCGGCUUACUGGACCGGUUCUGACGCUGAGGCGCGAAAGCGUGGGGAGCAAACAGG
rnacentral:rRNA from 1 species